rnacentral:rRNA from 1 species
UACGGGGGGGGCAAGCGUUGUUCGGAAUUACUGGGCGUAAAGGCUCGUAGGUGGCCAACUAAGUCAGACGUGAAAUCCCUCGGCUUAACCGGGGAACUGCGUCUGAUACUGGAUGGCUUGAGUUCGGGAGAGGGAUGCGGAAUUCCAGGUGUAGCGGUGAAAUGCGUAGAUAUCUGGAGGAACACCGGUGGCGAAGGCGGCAUCCUGGACCGACACUGACGCUGAGGAGCGAAAGCCAGGGGAGCAAAGCGGG